rnacentral:tRNA from 2 species
AGUAAGAUGGCUGAAUUAUUAGGCGGUAAAUUGUAAAUUUAUUUAUAGGUAUAACCUUCUUACUG